UCAGGCCUUCUCCUUGACCAUAGAACCUGGUGUUUGGCUGUUUGUCUCAUUUUCACCUUGACUUUACAUGAUUUUAACGCCAUAGCAGCAUGUACAGAAGCAGGGUCCACUAGCAGCCAUUGCAGAUGGGGAUGAGAAAAGCUGGUGCAGGUGAUCUGUAGCCCCAGGUCAUGUGGUUGGCAGGCUGCCAUGGACAUUGGGAUGACUCCGAUUUAUGAGGAUCAAUACACCCCUGCGCAAUACAGCAGGAUUCAGCUAUGGCUGACCUCAGCUCCUGACAGACGUUGGAAAAAUACUCUUCGAGUUCAACAGAGGUUCUAAGCGUCUCUGAAUAUGAAGUCUUUAUUACGAAGAUUCAGAUGAUCGUAUUUUAGACUGUGCAGAUGUCCUGGGGCCACAUGACUUUAGAUUCUUUAAAUUCUCAGCUCUACUCAGCUGGCCAACCUCUGAAAUGAAGAUGUUGCAGGAUGAAGAUUCAUUAGUACUCCUGUUCGUGGGACGUCUGUGCAGCUCUGUUCAGUGUGCGGGUCAGUGGAGGCUGGCGGCUGCUGCGCCCGCUUUGUUCUCUCUCGGGUUCUCCACUGGACCAGUGUGGGGUCCUAGAGCAUGAUGGUCUCAAAGCAGCGUAUCGAGAGGGAGCCUUCUAGGGGUGCAAUAUGGGAAGCUCUGGCCUUGAAGAUCUCUAUAAACUGAUAUCAAGUUAUUUCCAGGUGAUACUGUUACUUACAAAAGCAAAUAAGGAAAGAUGAUCUGUAAUUUUUGUGUAAGAGAGAAAGAGAAACAAAAACUGCACAUGUAUCUGCUCGUUUUCACAGAAGGAAACACAGGAAGCAUAACCCAGAAGCAACAGAGACUGGUUUCCUCCAGUGGGUCGUGAGCAGAAGGGGGAGCCGGGUGACACUGCCCUGAGGCUGCCUUUUUAUGGUUCUGAAGGUGAGGACGAUCUUAAUUUUUCCCAAUCUAAAAAAAUAAACAAAAUAAACAAGUGUGGAAGAAGAAAUAA
rnacentral:lncRNA from 1 species